GAUUAACGCUGGCGGCGUGCCUAACACAUGCAAGUCGAACGAGGUAGCAAUACCUAGUGGCAGACGGGUGAGUAACGCGUGGUCAACCUACCGUUGAGUGGGGGAUAACUAGCCGAAAGGUUAGCUAAUACCGCAUACGUCUCCGAGGGGCAUCCCUUGGCGAUAAAAGGAGCAAUCCGCUCGAUGACGGGACCGCGUCCCAUUAGCUAGAUGGUGGGGUAAUGGCCUACCAUGGCUCCGAUGGGUAGCUGGUUUGAGAGAGCGACCAGCCACACUGGGACUGAGACACGGCCCAGACUCCUACGGGAGGCAGCAGUGGGGAAUAUUGGACAAUGGGCGCAAGCCUGAUCCAGCAAUGCCGCGUGGAUGAAGAAGGUUUUCGGAUUGUAAAGUCCUUUCGGCGGGGACGAUGAUGACGGUACCCGCAGAAGAAGCCCCGGCUAACUUCGUGCCAGCCGCCGCCGU
rnacentral:rRNA from 1 species